rnacentral:tRNA from 1 species
GCAAAUUGUUAAUGCAUUUGGCUGCUAACCAAAAGGCUGGAGGUUCAAGUCCACC